CCACACUCAAAUACAUCCACAAAUGACAAAUAAAUAAAGCCUCUUGCUGGCCGAGAGUGCGCAUGCGUGCCGACGCCCCCUCCAGCCCCGGAUGGGAGGAGGGGAUGGAAGUGAAGCUGGGCCCCAAGGCUCGGCAAGCUCCUUCCCGCUCUUCUCUCCUCCAGCGGCGUCCCAGCGCCCGCUGGGAGGUGCAGGUCCGAGGGCUACAAGGUAGCUCCUGAGGCUUAAUUGAGACGGGAGGGUUCCGGAGCCCCACCCCCGGGAGGGACCGCCCUGCAGGUUUCCCUAAUCCUCCGAGCUCCCCAAUUCUAUGCCAGAGAUGCGAUUUAGCGACCAGAAGGACAGGAUGGGCACAGCAUCAGUAGGCUGAGACUAAAGAGAGGGUAAGCCUCCGUUUCUACUAG